GACGAACGCUGGCGGCGUGCUUAACACAUGCAAGUCGAACGAAGUGGCGAACGGGUGAGUAAUACGUGGGUAACCUGCCCUCCCUUUUGGGAUAAGCCUUGGAAACGGGGUCUAAUACCGACUAAAGGGGGAUGGGUUCGCGGGCUAUCAGCUUGUUGGUGGGGUUAUGGCCUAACCAGGCGGUGACGGGUAGCCGGCCUGAGAGGGUGACCGGCGACUAUGGGAAGGAGGUAAGGCCCAGACUCCUACGGGGGGCAGCAUUGGGGGAUAUUGCACAAUGGUCGAAAGCCGAAUGCAGCGACGCGGCGUGGGGGAUGAGGACUUGCGAGUUGUAAACCUCUUUAGCUAUCGAACGGGUAGGUAGAGAAGAAGCGCCGGCUAACUACGUGCCAGCCGCCGCGGUAAUUC
rnacentral:rRNA from 1 species